AUUGAACGCUGGCGGCAGGCCUAACACAUGCCAGUCGAGCGGAUGAAGGGAGCUUGCUCCUGGAUUCAGCGGCGGACGGGUGAGUAAUGCCUAGGAAUCUGCCUGGUAGUGGGGGAUAACGUCCGGAAACGGGCGCUAAUACCGCAUACGUCCUGAGGGAGAAAGUGGGGAUCUUCGGAACUCACGCUAUCAGUAGAGCCUAGGUCGGAUUAGUCAGUUGGUGGGGUAAAGGCCUACCAAGGCGACGGUCCGUAACUGGUCUGAGAGGAUGAUCAGUCACACUGGAACUGAGACACGGUCCAGACUCCUACGGGAGGCAGCAGUGGGGAAUAUUGGACAAUGGGCGAAAGCCUGAUCCAGCCAUGCCGCGUGUGUGAAGAAGGUCUUCGGAUUGUAAAGCACUUUAAGUUGGGAGGAAGGGCAGUAAGUUAAUACCUUGCUGUUUUGACGUUACCAACAGAAUAAGCACCGGCUAACUUCGUG
rnacentral:rRNA from 1 species